UGCAAGUCGAGGGGCAGCAUGGUCUUAGCUUGCUAAGGCCGAUGGCGACCGGCGCACGGGUGAGUAACACGUAUCCAACCUACCCUUCACAGGGGGAUAACCGGGAGAAAUUCCGACUAAUACCGCAUACGUCCCCUGGGGGCAUCCCCUGGGGAUGAAAGAAUUAUCGGUGGAGGAUGGGCAUGCGUGAUAUUAGGUAGUUGGCGGGGCAACGGCCCACCAAGCCCACGAUAUCUAGGGGUUCUGAGAGGAAGGUCCCCACAUUGGUACUGAGACACGGACCAAACUCC
rnacentral:rRNA from 1 species